UGACUCUCGGCAACGGAUAUCUAGGCUCUUGCAUCGAUGAAGAACGUAGCGAAAUGCGAUACUUGGUGUGAAUUGCAGAAUCCCGUGAACCAUCGAGUCUUUGAACGCAAGUUGCGCCCGAUGCCAUUAGGUUGAGGGCACGUCUGCCUGGGUGUCACAU
rnacentral:rRNA from 5 species